rnacentral:snoRNA from 1 species
GUGAUGAGCCUCACGGUAGGCGAUGGAUGUGCGAAACGCCCUUCACUGA